GAGGAAGGAAGAUAUUGUUAUGCUAAUGGACGAGUGACGAUUGAUCGAUGUAAAUGGAAAGGUAUUUGUGAAGGUACAAGAUAUUGUUACUGGUGGUGACCGAGUGGCAAUUGAUCGAUGUGAAUGGACAGGCAUACGAAUGCGAAAUGAGAUUUUGAAGAAACCAGAUAGCAAUGCUCAAAUAUAUGGAGACCAAGCCGGAACGAAAUAUUUCACCCGUAUAUUCUCCAAAAAUCAUAUAUUGGUCUCGGGAUAGCUGCAGUUGAUUCUGCCCGGAACAGCAAAUAAAGGCGAAAUCAAUCUUACAAAUCGGGAUAGAGGAAGUGCGUUCUGGACGGAGUAAACGAAAAUAUU